UGUGAGGAGCGCCUCUGCCCGGCCGCGACCCCAUCUGGGAACUGAGGAGUGUCUCUGCCCAGCCACGACCCCAUCUGGGAGGUGAGGAGCGUCUCUGCCCAUCUGCCCCGUCUGAGAAGUGAGGAGCCCCUCCGCCCGGCAGCCGCCCUGUCUGGGAGGCUCAGUCACCUUUCCCGGUUGCCUUGAUCCAAGGCCUGAUAUGGGAUAUCCAGGAAGAGUCGAUGGUCACAGAGAAGGCCGUGCCAAUGGGCAGAGGUCUGGGAGGUCUCACUCAUUCUGUGCCUGUGAACAUGGCGGCGCCCGUUGUCACGGCCCCGGGCAGAGCUCUGCUGCGGGCGGGCGCUGGACGGCUGCUUCGGGGAGGCGUCCAGGAGCUACUGCGGCCG
rnacentral:antisense_RNA from 1 species